UCCGCAACGACGAGGAGUUAAACAAGCUGC
rnacentral:piRNA from 1 species